CACGUAGGGUGCGAGCGUUGUCCGGAAUUAUUGGGCGUAAAGAGCUCGUAGGCGGUGUGUCGCGUCGGCCGUGAAAACCUGCAGCUUAACUGUGGGCUUGCGGUCGAUACGGGCAUCACUGGAGUUCGGCAGGGGAGACUGGAAUUCCUGGUGUAGCGGUGAAAUGCGCAGAUAUCAGGAGGAACACCAAUGGCGAAGGCAGCUCGCUGGGACGGUACUGACGCUGGAG
rnacentral:rRNA from 1 species